GGGGUGUGUAGAGUAUAUGGGAGGGUGCUUAAAGCGAGGUUUGGGCCUUAGGCCCAAACCCAAAUACAAGUGCCAAAGACCCAACUCGAGUUCAGCCAUGGCCAAGUCAAGUUCAAGUUAAGAACUUCCCAAUUCAAACGCGACACUGCACAACAAAUCCACUUUUUCACUGUUGUUAUACUAAUUCAACAUCUCACAUGCCAAACGUUCUGGGUUAAACGCGACGCAAAACAAUGAACACGAAGGUUCUUCACCUAACAACCAUGAUUCUGCCCAACCUUCACCAUCUAAAAGGAGCCUCAAAACAUGCUUAUUCAACAAGUUCCAAAGGCUCAACGCAACGGUUUAUCCUCACGUCUUCAACCUUGUUCCAUGCUCGUGGAUCCGCAACUUCAGAAUGAGAACGAAAUAAAGAAAAACAGCUCCAACAUCAAAUUAAUUUCCGAAAUCAAACGUCAACAACUCGAAUCACUUAUGCAUGCCUGAAAACGGAAAGAACAAUAUCGAAACCAAAGUGAGAACUCAUCGAAUUCGAGCUUUGAUGCAAACAGGGCUGCCCUAUGCUUGGAAUUGGAUUUCAAGGCAUGCUUGGCCUAAAGGUGCCAUGAAAGUUCCAUGGAGAUGGAAAAAUGCAAAAACAUGGCUUGCUUUCAUAUUAAGCAAGCUUUGGAUGAGAGUCAAAAGAGAACAUGGGACAAUGAAGAAUAAAAAAAUGAAAAUUUAGGAUUAGGUUUAGAAAAUAGGUGAGUUGACUUUGGUCAGAGUUGACCAAAGAGUCAACUAUUGGUCAAAGUUGUCUUUUUUUUUUGUAAUUUUUUGUAUGGAUGAUGUAAAUGAUAUUGUAUGGAUUUAAUGGACCUUUGUGAAUGCAAAUAGUUCUUUGAAUUUAAUUAAAAAAAUCUCAUUUUUAAA